rnacentral:rRNA from 1 species
UACGUAGGGUGCGAGCGUUAAUCGGAAUUACUGGGCGUAAAGUGUGCGCAGGCGGCAGAGCAAGUCGAGUGUGAAAGCCCCGGGCUUAACUUGGGAAUUGCGCUCGAAACUACUUUGCUGGAGUGUGGCAGAGGAAGGUGGAAUUCCACGUGUAGCGGUGAAAUGCGUAGAGAUGUGGAGGAACACCAAUGGCGAAGGCAGCCUUCUGGGCCAACACUGACGCUCAUGCACGAAAGCGUGAGGAGCAAACAGG